rnacentral:rRNA from 1 species
GAUGAACGCUGGCGGCGUGCCUAAUACAUGCAAGUCGAGCGAAUGGAUUAAGAGCUUGCUCUUAUGAAGUUAGCGGCGGACGGGUGAGUAACACGUGGGUAACCUGCCCAUAUGACUGGGAUAACUCCGGGAAACCGGGGCCAAUACCGGAUAACAUUUUGAACCGCAUGGUUCGAAAUUGAAAGGCGGCUCCGGCUGUCACUUAUGGCUGGACCCGCGUCGCAUUAGCUAGUUGGGGAGGUAACGGCGCACCAAGGCAACGAUGCGUAGCCGACCUGAGAGGGUGAUCGGCCACACUGGGACUGAGACACGGCCCAGACUCCUACGGGAGGCAGCAGUAGGGAAUCUUCCGCAAUGGACGAAAGUCUGACGGAGCAACGCCGCGUGAGUGAUGAAGGCUUUCGGGUCGUAAAACUCUGUUGUUAGGGAAGAACAAGUGCUAGUUGAAUAAGCUGGCACCUUGACGGUACCUAACCAGAAAGCCACGGCUAACUACGUGCCAGCCGCCGCAGUAA